GACGAACGCUGGCGGCGUGCCUAAUACAUGCAAGUCGAACGCUUCUUUCCUCCCUAGUGCUUGCACUCCAUUGGAAAGAGGAGUGGCGGACGGGUGAGUAACACGUGGGUAACCUACCCAUCAGAGGGGGAUAACACUUGGAAACAGGUGCUAAUACCGCAUAACAGUUUAUGCCGCAUGGCAUAAGAGUGAAAGGCGCUUUCUGGUGUCGCUGAUGGAUGGACCCGCGGUGCAUUAGCUAGUUGGUGAGGUAACGGCUCACCAAGGCCACGAUGCAUAGCCGACCUGAGAGGGGGAUCGGCCACACUGGGACUGAGACACGGCCCAGACUCCUACGGGAGGCAGCAGUAGGGAAUAUUCGGCAAUGGACGAAAGUCUGACCGAGCAACGCCGCGUGAGUGAAGAAGGUUUUCGGAUCGUAAAACUCUGUUGUUAGAGAAGAACAAGGACGUUAGUAACUGAACGUCCCCUGACGGUAUCUAACCAGAAAGCCAAGGAUAACUACGUG
rnacentral:rRNA from 1 species